rnacentral:rRNA from 1 species
AGGUUACUGCUAUCGGUGUUCGCCUAAGCCAUGCGAGUCAUAUGUUCGUAAGAACAUGGCGUACUGCUCAGUAACACGUGGAUAACCUGCCCUUGGGUCCGGCAUAACCCCGGGAAACUGGGGAUAAUUCCGGAUAACGCACAUAUGCUGGAAUGCUUUAUGCGUAAAAUGGAUUCGUCUGCCCAAGGAUGGGUCUGCGGCCUAUCAGGUAGUAGUGGGUGUAAUGCACCUACUAGCCUACGACGGGUACGGGUUGUGAGAGCAAGAGCCCGGAGAUGGAUUCUGAGACAUGAAUCCAGGCCCUACGGGGCGCAGCAGGCGCGAAAACUUUACAAUGCGGGAAACCGUGAUAAGGGGACACCGAGUGCCAGCAUCCUAUGCUGGCUGUCCGGGUGUGUAAAAUACACCUGUUAGCAAGGGCCGGGCAAGACCGGUGCCAGCCGCCGCGGUAACACCGGCGGCCCGAGUGGUGAUCGUGAUUAUUGGGUCUGAAGGGUCCGUAGCCGGUUUGGUCAGUCCUCCGGGAAAUCUGACAGCUCAACUGUUAGGCUUUCGGA